rnacentral:rRNA from 1 species
GAUGAACGCUGACAGAAUGCUUAACACAUGCAAGUCGAUGGGGAAGUGGUGCUUGCACCAUGGUAACCAUGGCGGACGGGUGAGUAACGCGUAAGGAACUUACCUGCUGGACCGGGAUAACAGAAGGAGACUGCUGACAAGACCGGAUAAGGUCAUUAAGCUGCAUAGCUUAGUGAUGAAAGGUGACGCCUGCGGCGAGCCUUGCGUCCUAUUAGCUAGUUGGGGGGAUAACGGCCCAGCAAGGCGAAGAUAGGCAGCCGGCCUGAGAUGGGGGACGGCCACGAGGGGAAUGAGAGACGGCCGUUACGCCUACGGGAGGAAGGAGGGGGGAAUAUUGGACAAAGGGGGCAUCCGUGAUGCAGCAAUUCUGUGUGCACGAAGACUGUUUUCGGAUUGUAAAGUGGUUUCAGAAGGGAAGGAGGAAGUGACGGUACCUGCAGAAGAAGCGACGGCUAAAUACGUG